CCUACGGGAGGCAGCAGUGGGGGAUAUUGCACAAUGGGGGAAACCCUGAUGCAGCGACGCCGCGUGGGCGAAGAAGUAUUUCGGUAUGUAAAGCCCUAUCAGCAGGGAAGAAGAAAUGACGGUACCUGAGUAAGAAGCACCGGCCAAAUACGUGCCCGCCGCCGCGGUAAUUCGUAGGGUGCAAGCGUUAUCCGGAUUUACUGGGUGUAAAGGGAGCGCAGGCGGCACGGCAAGCCUGAUGUGAAAGCCCGCGGCCCAACCGCGGGACUGCAGUGGGAACUACGGGGCUGGAGUGCCGGAGAGGUAGGCGGAAUUCCUAGUGUAGCGGUGAAAUGCGUAGAUAUUAGGAGGAACACCAGUGGCGAAGGCGGCCUGCUGGACGGUGACUGACGCUGAGGCUCGAAAGCGUGGGGAGCAAACAGGAUUAGAUACCCGUGUAGUC
rnacentral:rRNA from 1 species